UACAGAGGGUGCAAGCGUUGUUCGGAAUUAUUGGGCGUAAAGGGCGCGUAGGCGGUGCGGUAAGUCUGUAGUGAAAUCUCUGGGCUCAACUCAGAGUCUGCUGCAGAAACUGCCGUGCUUGAGUGUGGGAGAGGUGAGUGGAAUUCCCGGUGUAGCGGUGAAAUGCGUAGAUAUCGGGAGGGACACCUGUGGCGAAAGCGGCUCACUGGACCACAACUGACGCUGAGGCGCGAAAGCUAGGGGAGCAAACAGG
rnacentral:rRNA from 1 species